UACGUAGGGGGCAAGCGUUGUCCGGAAUUAUUGGGCGUAAAGCGCGUGUAGGCGGCCAGAUAAGUCCGCUGUGAAAUCUCGAGGCUCAACUUCGAGCUGUCGGUGGAAACUGUCUGGCUAGAGUCCGGAAGAGGAGAAUGGAAUUCCUGGUGUAGCGGUGAAAUGCGCAGAUAUCAGGAAGAACACCCAUGGCGAAGGCAGCAUACUGGGCCUGUACUGACGCUGAGACGCGAAAGCGUGGGGAGCAAACGGG
rnacentral:rRNA from 1 species